CCUACGUGAGGCAGCAGUCGAGAAUCAUUCACAAUGGGGGAAACCCUGAUGGUGCGACGCCGCGUGGGGGAAUGAAGGUCUUCGGAUUGUAAACCCCUGUCAUGUGGGAGCAAAUUAAAAAGAUCGUACCACAAGAGGCAGAGACGGCUAACUCUGUGCCAGCAGCCGCGGUAAUACAGAGGUCUCAAGCGCUGUUCGGCAUCACUGGGCGUAAUGCGGGCGUAGGCUGUUUCGUAAGUCGUGUGUGAAAGGCGCGGGCUCAACCCGCGGACGGCACAUGAUACUGCGAGACUAGAGUAAUGGAGGGGGAACCGGAAGUCUCGGUGUAGCAGUGAAAUGCGUAGAUAUCGAGAGGAACACUCGUGGCGAAGGCGGGUUCCUGGACAUUAACUGACGCUGAGGCACGAAGGCCAGGGGAGCGAAAGGGAUUAGAUACCCUUGUAGUC
rnacentral:rRNA from 1 species